GUGACGGCUACACAUCACUGGGUAACACAUUUGCCUAAUGCCCGCCUAUGGUAUUCAUUGGCUGCCCGCAAACAACGUCAACUUUGAGCCGCCCUCAAACGUUGUAGCUGGUUCAUGUUGUAUACAUGUCGAGAAGAUGCUGUUUUCUGCUCUGCAAAAGCAAAUUCUCUUUGUAAACACUUCCAAAGGAUGAGGAUAUGAAGAGUCAGUGAUUAAAAUUACCACAGUCAUACAACAGCAGAAUAACAUUUUCACGAUUGCUUCUCAAAUCUCCAUGAGUUAUAAAUGGGAUUUACAAAAUGCUUAUCUAUUAAAGAUGGGACAGUACCGACUUUAUUUGGACCAAACUUGCUCCUAAGAAUCACAGCCUACUCGUGGUCGGAUUGAUAUGGUAAAAUCGAUGCCAUCGCUACUGUCUUUACGGCGCUGUAAGCGGCAGACCAGAAUGAGAAUGAGCCAUCUGGCCAAUCAGAGCAGAGCAGGCUCGCGGAAAGGAGAAAUUUAGAGAGACUGAAGCAUCAGAUGAGUUGUUUAAGAAUCACUGACAAAUGUGGUGAUGUGCAAUGCAUAUUAUGAGAAAAUGAAAGCAUUUUUGACCUUUGAUGCAUGUAAACAUGUUAUAGGAGAGCUCCAAAACAAAAUUAAGAACCUUUAAAAUAGCAUAAUAGGGGCACUUUAAUUCCCGUGGUGGGAAAAAAAAUAAAUUAAAAAUACUGAAUUAAUGUGUGUUUAUGCUGUUGUCACUUGAAGUUGAAGUGUCUCAAGUAAUUAAUUGAGAAAACUGUUUUGUUUCACAUUAUGUUAUUCUGUUGAAGACUAUAGUGCUGUUUGUUUACUGCUGUUGUGUUUCCCCCCCCUGUGGUUAUUAUUUCAACACAGCUGUGUUUUCUCAAUAAAGAGAUUCCAUCUUGCACUAAUUGUUUUAGCUUUAAUGGAUAAGGAGCAAAAAAAAAAAAAACUUUUAUAUAUCCACAUAUCUAAACACCACACAUAUGCCUAUCAUUUUCCAGACCUCUUUGUAGAGUUGCCUUCAUUUUUCUCAGCAUGAACAGAUGAACUCAGUGGAUGCGAGUCCUUGUUUCGGAAUACCGAACCGAGCACACAGGACUAAUCUGUCCUCGCCUCAUUUUCUCCCUAAUGAGAUGAAGAUCAAAGAUGAUAGAGGUUCCAAAACAAACAGCUGGCUCUAUAUCAACACAGAACCCAAUCAAUUUCCACACAUCCUGGGCCUAAAAUGAAAACACUCAGAUAAGCGAUUUAUAAUAAAGAGAAUCAUAAUUAGGAAAGGGGCUUCGCAAAUUCGGUGUGAACUUAGCUUG